UGUCAAUUGUUGAGGGAUCCUUAGACCAGUUCCAUUUGACUGUUGACAGACCGUGAAAAAAUUGAUGCAAAUUUUUAAGGUUUAAUUAUUAUUGAAAUUAAAGGAUAUAUUCAAUAUAUUUACUACAUUUCUCCCCGUACGAUAAAACUUCGAAGCUCUCAUCACAGUUGAACUUUUUUCCAUAAUCGGAAAGUUAGGUUAUUAUUGAAUUCUGAGAUAUAAAACACAGUUCUUGGACGUGAAUCUGCACAUAUCAAUUUAUCAGAUACAGAAAUGAAAAAAUCCUAGGAUGGCAAUUAUCAUCCCUCGGAGAGACUGUAUUUGGAAUGAAAAUCCUUCUUCAGGGGUAAAGUCCUGAAGCAGUUCGUUCAGGAGAGUUUCUAUUUGAAAUAUAUGAUCCAUUUGUCAAGUUUACAUAAUGUACUUCAGAUCAAAUUACAUGCAAACUCACAGAAUGAGAAACAUCUUUGAUCUUGGUGUAUGAACAUAAGAAUUUCUAGAUAACAAACGGUUCUUGGGGGCACAUAUAAAUUUAUCAGAUCAAGAAAUGUAUAAUAUCAUUUCUCGGACAGUGUUAUUUGGUAAAAAAAGAGGUAGUUCAGAGUAAGUUUAUAAAGCAUAUCAUUCAGGAUAGUUUCUAUGUGAAGUAAAUGAUCUAUUUCGCUUUUUUUCAACUGAAUACAACAGAUUUCUGACAACUUCCAUGCAAUCGGGUAGUGUACGGAGAUGAUUUUCUUAGUCUAGAUCUAUGGAAAAAUGUUUUGAGAUAAGUUAUUCAUUUGGAAUGAUAUAAUGAUUAUUGAAACACAAUCUAUGAGUGAGUUUUUGCGUUAAAAUUCUAUAUUUAUAGACAUUUGUCAAGUUUUCUCAUUUAAGGUAAGAUUGUUACUCUUAUCGUAGAGAGAGGGACUCUGUAGGUUUUUGUUCAAAAUAAACUGAAUGAAAUGUUAUAAUACUUGAAAUCUUCAUAAUAAGGCUUCUUUUCAAUUCCAUAUGACAGAUUUUGGCCAAUUUUUAAGCUUUUUGAUUAGUAUACAAGGAUUAUUAUAUUUACUCAUUCUAGAUAAUAAGAGAAAUGUUUUCAAAUAACUUAUUCAAGUGGAAUAAUAAAAUGCUUAUUGGAAUGAUAAAAAGCAUAUUGAAACACAAUCUAUGAGUAAGUUUUAACAUAAAAAUUCUAUAUAUGUAUAGACUUUCGCCAAGUUUUUGUCAUUUGGGGUUAGUUUUUUUUUUCUUAUCGUAGAUGAAAGGAUUUUGUAGAUUUUGUUCGAAAUAAACUGAAUUAAAUAUUA